GACAGAGGUGCCGAGCGUUAGGCGGAAUUACUGGGCGUAAAGCGCGCGUAGGCGGACCUGCAAGUCGGGGGUGAAAGCCCGAGGCUCAACCUCGGAACUGCCUUCGAUACUGCGGGUCUCGAGUCCGGGAGAGGUGAGUGGAAUUCCUGGUGUAGCGGUGGAAUGCGCAGAUAUCAGGAGGAACACCAAUAGCGAAGGCAGCUCGCUGGGACGUUACUGACACUAAGGCGCGAAAGCGUGGGGAGCGAACGAGG
rnacentral:rRNA from 1 species